GAUGAACGCUGGCGGCGUGCCUAAUACAUGCAAGUCGAACGCUUCACUUCGGUGAAGAGUGGCGAACGGGUGAGUAAUACAUAAGUAACCUGGCAUCUACAGGGGGAUAACUGAUGGAAACGUCAGCUAAGACCGCAUAGGUGUAGAGAUCGCAUGAACUCUAUAUGAAAAGUGCUACGGGACUGGUAGAUGAUGGACUUAUGGCGCAUUAGCUGGUUGGUAGGGUAACGGCCUACCAAGGCGACGAUGCGUAGCCGACCUGAGAGGGUGACCGGCCACACUGGGACUGAGACACGGCCCAGACUCCUACGGGAGGCAGCAGUAGGGAAUUUUCGGCAAUGGGGGAAACCCUGACCGAGCAACGCCGCGUGAAGGAAGGAGUAAUUCGUUAUGUAAACUUCUGUCAUAGAGGAAGAACGGUGGAUAUAGGGAAUGAUAUCCAAGUGACGGUACU
rnacentral:rRNA from 1 species